UAGGGAAUCUUCCGCAAUGGACGCAAGUCUGACGGAGCAACGCCGCGUGAGUGAUGAAGGUCUUCGGAUCGUAAAACUCUGUUAUUAGGGAAGAACAAAUGUGUAAGUAACUAUGCACAUCUUGACGGUACCUAAUCAGAAAGCCACGGCUAACUACGUGCCAGCAGCCGCGGUAAUACGUAGGUGGCAAGCGUUAUCCGGAAUUAUUGGGCGUAAAGCGCGCGUAGGCGGUUUUUUAAGUCUGAUGUGAAAGCCCACGGCUCAACCGUGGAGGGUCAUUGGAAACUGGAAAACUUGAGUGCAGAAGAGGAAAGUGGAAUUCCAUGUGUAACGGUGAAAUGCGCAGAGAUAUGGAGGAACACCAGUGGCGAAGGCGACUUUCUGGUCUGUAACUGACGCUGAUGUGCGAAAGCGUGGGGAUCAAACAGG
rnacentral:rRNA from 1 species